CAUUAUCUCAUUUGAACUGUGAUCAACAAUUCUGUGAGGCAUCUUCAAGCAAAAUCUGAAUGAACAUUUACUGGGAAUACUGGAAGGGAGAUUCGCAUCUGACUAUGGUUUAAUUCAAUGAUCCAUGUAGUCCUCUCCAAUUUUGAGAUUCUGUGAAGAUAUUGUCCAGGUCCAGCACUCUACUCCUAUGCUAUUCUGCAUCUCCAUAAGAAAAGAUUUCCAGUUUGUAAAUGGGCUUCUUCAUCUUAGUCUCCUGGGUUCCAAGUUGUCUUUAUCCCAACUCUACUUUGAAGGACAUCAUGUGAAAAGAAGAGCAUACUUGGAGUCAGGACAGGGUAAAGGAUUCAGAGGGCAAAGCCAUCAGCCCAGGCACAGCCAGACUUUCCAUCUAUCCCACUCAACUUCUUGUCAAGUUUGGUUACCACCAAACCACA